GCGAAGGCUUGAGCUGAAUCUCGGGCACAGAAAUGUUGAGAAAGGUAGACAGAUGAACACCAUUUAAUGGAAACAGAUGAGGUCUCAGCUUAUCUGGCUGGAAGAAAAGCAAAAAACAAAGCGAGACAAACAAAACUUCAGGUACAUACUCAAGAGAAUCGAAGAUAUAUGUUUCUAUGAAAUCUUGCACAUGAAUAUUUAUAGCAGUGUUAUUCAUAAUAGCCAAAAAGUGGGAACAACCCAAGCGUCUGCCCGCUGACGACUAGAUAAAUGAACUGUGGUACGUCCAUACAGUGGACUGUUACUCAACGAUUGAUAAAAUGACAUGCUGACUCAAGCUACACCCUGGAUGAACAGUGAGAACCAGUCACAAAAGAACACAUAUUUUAUAAUUCCUUUUAUACGAAAUAUCCAGAAUAAGCAAAUCUUUAGAGAAAGUAGUUUUGUGGUUGCCUAGGUUUAGAGGAACUGAAAGAUUAUUGCUAAGGGGUGUGAAGUUUCUUUUCGGGUGGUGAAAAGUGUUCUAAAAUGUAUUAUGGUGUUGGCUGCAUAAAUCUUGAACAUAUUUAAAAAGAUUAAGUUGUGGGAGCGCCUGG
rnacentral:lncRNA from 1 species